rnacentral:tRNA from 4 species
UGCUGGUGUAGCUCAGGGGUAGAGCAACGCACUCGUAAUGCGUAGGCCGGGGGUUCAAUUCCCUUCACCAGCAUCC